rnacentral:rRNA from 1 species
CCUACGGGUGGCAGCAGUGAGGAAUAUUGGUCAAUGGGCGGAAGCCUGAACCAGCCAAGUCGCGUGAGGGAAUAAGGCCCUACGGGUCGUAAACCUCUUUUGCCGGGGAGCAAGGUCGGGGACGUGUCCCGGCCCGUAGAGUACCCGGAGAAAAAGCAUCGGCUAACUCCGUGCCAGCAGCCGCGGUAAUACGGAGGGUCCGAGCGUUAUCCGGAUUUAUUGGGUUUAAAGGGUGCGUAGGCGGUUUGAUAAGUUAGAGGUGAAAUGUCGGGGCUCAACCCCGAAACUGCCUCUAAUACUGUUGGACUAGAGAAUAGUUGCGGUAGGCGGAAUGUAUGGUGUAGCGGUGAAAUGCUUAGAGAUCAUACAGAACACCGAUUGCGAAGGCAGCUUACCAAACUAUAUCUGACGUUGAGGCACGAAAGCGUGGGUAGCAAACAGGAUUAGAUACCCCUGUAGUC